rnacentral:rRNA from 1 species
AUGGCGUCAUCACACAAGUUCUUCCCGGCCGUCCUCCUCCUCCUGCUGCUAGUUGUCACCAUGGAGGUGGCACCGGCGCAGGCAGAGGAGGGGAGGGUGUGCGAGACGGAUAGCACUCGGUUCAAGGGGAUAUGCAUGGUUGGCACAAACUGCGCCAAUAUUUGCCUCACCGAGGGCUUCACCAGCGGCAAGUGCUCCGGCUUGAAGAGGAAGUGCAUUUGCACCAAACCAUGCUAG